GUUUGAAGGGAAGUGAGUUUUUUUUGGAAGUAGUGGUCAAACCAAUUAGUUUUUAGAUCUGAAUAUUGGCACCUUUGUUGGCCACUAAGAGGGUGGACACGCCUCUGAGGACACGAGGGGUUAAAAGCCGGAUUUCCCAGCAGGACUCCCUCUUUCCUGCUCUGCUUUCGGAGAGGGAGCGUCUUCUCCUCUUCCCCUGCCCAGGCCUGGGCUAGGCCGGGUGGGGGAGGGGAGCAAGGUUGGGCCUGGCUGGGCAAGGUGGGCCUCGGGGUGGGGAACAGAGGGAGCUGGAGUGGAGCUGGUCCAGCUUCCAUCUAGAAUGGAGGGGUGGAGGGAGAACUUUGGAGGUGCCUUCCGUCCCCCCCCCUCCCUGUCCCAUCCCGUUCCCCCCCCCUUCCCCCCCCGGUCCCGUCUCUCUCCUCCCCCCACAGAGAGAAGGUGCCGAGUUGGAGCUGCUUGUGAGAGCUGCAGUGUCUGCGAUCGCCUGUGCCUGACCUUGGUGGUGGGAGAUAAAGCUUUUAACUCUUUCUAAGGCAGAAGAGAGUUAUCCCUGGACGCUGUAUUCUCAUAGUUGGUGGUUUUGGGAGAGAGAGGACAGCCUGGGACCGAGAGGGUAAUGUGAGAUGAAAAGAAGCCCCUUCGAUUGCUGGAAUGAAGAGGAGUGGCUUAUGAAGCUGGACUUUUCUUGCAUAAUGAUAGCCAUAGACGGACCCUGGACCCUCCUGACUAUAAAUAAGACUGUGUUUGGGUGGAUGUUUUUGGCUCAAACCCAGAGACGUUUUGGCCUGCUUCGUGGAGCCCCCGGCCCCAGGGGUAAAUGGGGGGGACCUGAGUCCCAAAAUGAGAAGAUGGCUGGUUUUUGGUACUUGGCCAAAACAUCCUUAAAAAGAGCCCUGUUGCAGUGCAGGUCCAUGGACGGCAGUGAGAGUGCCGGACAUGGAAAGGAGGGUGUCACCCUGGCAGACCCUUCCAGGCAGUGCCAUGGGUGACGUGGGAACACGGGAUGGUGGACCUGUGUUUCCUGUGGGGGGGGGUCUGUGGUGCGAGAGAGACUCCUCUCAUCCUGGAUGGAAUGUGGAUUGUCUGAAUUUUAAAGGAUGACGAUUUGGAUUAGGAACCCAGGGUUGUUGAGGGAUUAAGCAAGUAGAUGAAGGUAAUGUGCCGGAGUCAACUGAGUGAGCAUGUAUGGAAUGGAAUUGGGGGGAGGAGAAGCAGUGUUUUUGGGAGGUUUUCUCUUCUGCUUUUGGGUGGCUGGGUUUUUUUCUUUCCUUUUCUAUUGUCCAUUGUUAUGUACUGUAAUAAAUUGUCUGUCUGUUUCAAGAAGUAGGCCUGCUCUGCUCUGUUCUUGACCACAUCUCACAGUAGCUCAUUAGGUAAAAUAUACUCUCAUGGGUGCAUUGGCAUUUUGUCCAAUGUCAACCCAUGACAUUUUUGGUUCCCUGACCGGGAAAUCGAGAUUUUGUAAGAUGAAAACUGUGAGAUGGGAUCAAAGAGGAACAAGAGCAAAGCAUGAAAUAGGUGAUAACAUAAAUGUAUGAAUGUAAUGUUGGUGUUAGUUUAUAAAUAUGUGUCCUCAGAGGGCGAGGGGUGGAGUGUCGUGGUUUGAAGGGAAGUGAGUUUUUUUUGGAAGUAGUGGUCAAACCAAUUAGUUUUUAGAUCUGAAUAUUGGCACCUUUGUUGGCCACUAAGAGGGUGGACACGCCUCUGAGGACACGAGGGGUUAAAAGCCGGAUUUCCCAGCAGGACUCCCUCUUUCCUGCUCUGCUUUCGGAGAGGGAGCGUCUUCUCCUCUUCCCCUGCCCAGGCCUGGGCUAGGCCGGGUGGGGGAGGGGAGCAAGGUUGGGCCUGGCUGGGCAAGAGAGAAGGUGCCGAGUUGGAGCUGCUUGUGAGAGCUGCAGUGUCUGCGAUCGCCUGUGCCUGACCUUGGUGGUGGGAGAUAAAGCUUUUAACUCUUUCUAAGGCAGAAGAGAGUUAUCCCUGGACGCUGUAUUCUCAUAGUUGGUGGUUUUGGGAGAGAGAGGACAGCCUGGGACCGAGAGGGUGAUGUGAGAUGAAAAGAAGCCCCUUCGAUUGCUGGAAUGAAGAGGAGUGGCUUAUGAAGCUGGACUUUUCUUGCAUAAUGAUAGCCAUAGACGGACCCUGGACCCUCCUGACUAUAAAUAAGACUGUGUUUGGGUGGAUGUUUUUGGCUCAAACCCAGAGACGUUUUGGCCUGCUUCGUGGAGCCCCCGGCCCCAGGGGUAAAUGGGGGGGACCUGAGUCCCAAAAUGAGAAGAUGGCUGGUUUUUGGUACUUGGCCAAAACAUCCUUAAAAAGAGCCCUGUUGCAGUGCAGGUCCAUGGACGGCAGUGAGAGUGCCGGACAUGGAAAGGAGGGUGUCACCCUGGCAGACCCUUCCAGGCAGUGCCAUGGGUGACGUGGGAACACGGGAUGGUGGACCUGUGUUUCCUGUGGGGGGGGGUCUGUGGUGCGAGAGAGACUCCUCUCAUCCUGGAUGGAAUGUGGAUUGUCUGAAUUUUAAAGGAUGACGAUUUGGAUUAGGAACCCAGGGUUGUUGAGGGAUUAAGCAAGUAGAUGAAGGUAAUGUGCCGGAGUCAACUGAGUGAGCAUGUAUGGAAUGGAAUUGGGGGGAGGAGAAGCAGUGUUUUUGGGAGGUUUUCUCUUCUGCUUUUGGGUGGCUGGGUUUUUUUCUUUCCUUUUCUAUUGUCCAUUGUUAUGUACUGUAAUAAAUUGUCUGUCUGUUUCAAGAA